rnacentral:rRNA from 2 species
AGUCGACGGCAGCACGGGAGCAAUCCUGGUGGCGAGUGGCGAACGGGUGAGUAAUACAUCGGAACGUGUCCUGGAGUGGGGGAUAGCCCGGCGAAAGCCGGAUUAAUACCGCAUACGCUCUGUGGAGGAAAGCGGGGGAUCUUUCGGGACCUCGCGCUCAAGGGGCGGCCGAUGGCAGAUUAGCUAGUUGGUGGGGUAAAGGCCUACCAAGGCGACGAUCUGUAGCUGGUCUGAGAGGACGACCAGCCACACUGGGACUGAGACACGGCCCAGACUCCUACGGGAGGCAGCAGUGGGGAAUUUUGGACAAUGGGCGCAAGCCUGAUCCAGCAAUGCCGCGUGUGUGAAGAAGGCCUUCGGGUUGUAAAGCACUUUUGUCCGGAAAGAAAACCUCUGGGUUAAUACCCCGGGGGGAUGACGGUACCGGAAGAAUAAGCACCGGCUAACUACGUGCCAGCAGCCGCGGUAAUACGUAGGGUGCGAGCGUUAAUCGGAAUUACUGGGCGUAAAGCGUGCGCAGGCGGUUCGUUAAGACAGAUGUGAAAUCCCCGGGCUUAACCUGGGAACUGCAUUUGUGACUGGCGGGCUAGAGUAUGGCAGAGGGGGGUAGAAUUCCACGUGUAGCAGUGAAAUGCGUAGAGAUGUGGAGGAAUACCGAUGGCGAAGGCAGCCCCCUGGGCCAAUACUGACGCUCAUGCACGAAAGCGUGGGGAGCAAACAGGAUUAGAUACCCUGGUAGUCCACGCCCUAAACGAUGUCAACUAGUUGUUGGGGAUUCAUUUCCUUAGUAACGUAACUAACGC